rnacentral:rRNA from 1 species
GAUUAACGCUGGCGGCGUGCAUAACACAUGCAAGUCGAACGAUGAAACUUAGUAGACUUCUUCGGAAAGACACUAAGCGGAUUAGUGGCGAACGGGUGAGUAACGCGUGAGUAACCUGCCUUACACAAGGGGAUAGCCUUUGGAAACGAAGAACAAUACCCUAUAAAACCAUAAAAGCACAUGCUAGAAUGGUCAAAGUGAUAGCGGUGUAAGAUGGACUUGCGUCUGAUUAGCUAGUUGGUGAGAUAAAAGCUCACCAAGGCAACGAUCAGUAGCCGGCUUGAGAGAGUGUACGGCCACAUUGGGACUGAGACACGGCCCAGACUCCUACGGGAGGCAGCAGUGGGGAAUUUUGCACAAUGGGGGAAACCCUGAUGCAGCGACGCCGCGUGAUUUAGAGGGCCUUCGGGUUGUAAAAAUCUUUUGUAUAGGAAGAAAAUGACAGUACUAUACGAAUAAGGUCCGGCUAAUUACGUG